rnacentral:rRNA from 1 species
GACGAACGCUGGCGGCGUGCUUAACACAUGCAAGUCGAACGGUGAAGCUCCAGCUUGCUGGAGUGGAUCAGUGGCGAACGGGUGAGUAACACGUGAGCAACCUGCCCCAGACUCUGGAAUAAGCGCUGGAAACGGCGUCUAAUACUGGAUACGAGAUCAAGCCGCAUGGUUAUGGUCUGGAAAGUUUUUCGGUUUGGGAUGGGCUCGCGGCCUAUCAGCUUGUUGGUGAGGUAAUGGCUCACCAAGGCGACGACGGGUAGCCGGCCUGGGAGGGCGACCGGCCACACUGGGACUGAGACACGGCCCAGACUCCUACGGGAGGCAGCAGUGGGGAAUAUUGCACAAUGGGCGAAAGCCUGAUGCAGCGACGCCGCGUGAGGGAUGACGGCCUUCGGGUUGUAAACCUCUUUCAGCAGGGAAGAAGCGAAAGUGACGGUACCUGCAGAAGAAGCACCGGCUAACUACGUG